GACGAACGCUGGCGGCGUGCUUAACACAUGCAAGUCGAGCGGAGCGGCGAACGGGUGAGUAACGCAUGAGUAACUGCCCCCCUCUCUGGGAUAACAGUUGGAAACGGGUGCUGAUACCGGAUAGUGGGGGAUGAAUCGCGUCCUAUGAGCUUGUUGGUGGGGUAGUGGCCUACCAAGGCGACGACGGGUAGCCGGCCUGAGAGGGCGACCGGCCACAGUGGGCUGAGAUACGGCCCAAAGUCAUACGGGAGGCAGCAGUGGGGAAUAUGGCACAAUGGGGGAAACCCUGAUGCAGAAACGCCGCGUGCGGGAUGACGGCCUUCGGGGUGUAAACCGCUUUCAGCCAUGACGCGGUAGUGGCAGAAGAAGCACCGGCUAACUACGUGCCAGCAGCCGCGGUAAUUC
rnacentral:rRNA from 1 species